AUUGAACGCUGGCGGCAUGCUUUACACAUGCAAGUCGAACGGUAACAGUGUGCUUGCACCGCUGACGAAUGGCGAACGGGUGAGUACUGCGUCGGAACGUGCCGAGUGUUGGUGGCUAACGCAGCGAAAGUUGUGCUAAUACAGCAUACGUACUGAGGUCGAAAGUGGGGGACAUUCGGGCCUCACGCUAUUCGAGCGGCUGACGUCGGAUUAGCUAGUAGGUGAGGUAAAGGCUCACGUAGGCGACGAUCAGUAGCGGGUCUGAGAGGAUGAUCCGUAACACUGGGACUGAGACACGGCCCAGACUUCUACGGGAGGCAGCAGUGGGGAAUAUUGGACAUGGGCGCAAGCCUGAUCCAGCCAUGCCGCGUGUGUGAAGAAGGCCUUCGGGUUGUAAAGCACUUUCAGUAGGGAGUAAGCGUUGUGUGUUAAUAGUACACAGCGUUGACGUUACCUACAGAAGAAGCACCGGCUAACUCCGUGCCAGCAGCCGCCGUAA
rnacentral:rRNA from 1 species